AACGAACGCUGGCGGCAUGCCUAACACAUGCAAGUCGAACGAGACCUUCGGGUCUAGUGGCGCACGGGUGCGUAACGCGUGGGAACCUGCCCUUAGGUUCGGAAUAACUCAGAGAAAUUUGAGCUAAUACCGGAUGAUGUCUUCGGACCAAAGAUUUAUCGCCUUUAGAUGGGCCCGCGUUGGAUUAGCUAGUUGGUGGGGUAAAGGCCUACCAAGGCGACGAUCCAUAGCUGGUCUGAGAGGAUGAUCAGCCACACUGGGACUGAGACACGGCCCAGACUCCUACGGGAGGCAGCAGUGGGGAAUAUUGGACAAUGGGCGAAAGCCUGAUCCAGCAGUGCCGCGUGAGUGAUGAAGGCCUUAGGGUUGUAAAGCUCUUUUACCCGAGAUGAUAAUGACAGUAUCGGGAGAAUAAGCUCCGGCUAACUCCGUG
rnacentral:rRNA from 1 species